rnacentral:lncRNA from 1 species
UGCAGGAGGCACAUGCCUGUAAUCCCAGAGACAGGGGAGGGUUAGGCAGGAGGAUCAAAAGUUUAAGGCCAGUCUCAGCAAUUUAGUGAGGCUCUAAGCAACUUAGUGAGACCCUGUCUCAGAAAAACAAAAAUAAAAAGAAGCUUUGGAGAACCAAAUGACCCCCCAAGCCCUACCAGCCUCUGGUGCUAGGAAUUGAACAUAGGGCCUUGGGCAUGCUAGGCAAGCACUACCACUGAGCUAUAUCCCAUGUCCUUAAAAAUAAUUAUGAAACGUCUUUCCUAUGUGACCUCUUUCCAUUCCCAUUAAUUAUUAAAUUUAUUUUGGUGGAGUUUAUUUUCUUAGCUGUGUAAAAGUAAUAUUUAGCCAGGUGUGGUGACACACACUUGUAAUCCCAGCAGCUUAGGAGGCUGAAGCAGGAAGAUCACAAGUUCAAAGCCAGCCUCGGCAAUUUAGCGAGGCUCUAAGCAACUUAGUAAG